GCCAAGCACGGUGGCACACGCCUAUAGUCCCAGCUAUUUGGGAGGCUGAGGUAGGAGGAUCACUUGAGCUCAGGAGUUCUGGGUUGCAGUGCAGUAUGCCAGUCAGGUGUCUGCACCUAGGUCGGCAUCACUAUGGUGACCUCCAGGCAGUGGGGGGACUACCAGGUUGCCUAAGGAGGCGUGAACUGCCCCAGGAUGGAAAUGGAGCAGGUCAAAACUCCUGUUCUGGCCAGUAGUGGGAUCACGCCUGUGAAUAGCCACUGCACUCCAGCCUGGGCAACAUAGUGAGACCCAUCUUGA
rnacentral:SRP_RNA from 1 species